CGGGACGGGUGGGUAACGCGUGGAGAACCUGCCGUAUACUGGGGGAUAACACUUAGAAAUAGGUGCUAAUACCGCAUAAGCGCACAGCUUCGCAUGAAGCAGUGUGAAAAACUCCGGUGGUAUACGAUGGAUCCGCGUCUGAUUAGCUUGUUGGCGGGGUAAAGGCCCACCAAGGCGACGAUCAGUAGCCGGCCUGAGAGGGUGAACGGCCACAUUGGGACUGAGACACGGCCCAAACUCCUACGGGAGGCAGCAG
rnacentral:rRNA from 1 species